GCCCCAUUAGCUCAGCCGGUAGAGCACAUGACUUUUAAUCAUGGUGUCCGGAGUUCGAUUCUCCGAUGGAGCACCA
rnacentral:tRNA from 2 species